rnacentral:rRNA from 1 species
UACGUAGGGUGCUAGCGUUGUUCGGAAUCAUUGGGCGUAAAGCGCGUGUAGGCGGUUAGUUAAGUCGAUUGUGAAAUCCCUGGGCUUAACCGAGGAAGUGCAUUCGAAACUAACUGGCUAGAAGACGGUAGAGGAAGGUGGAAUUCCGAGUGUAGAGGUGAAAUUCGUAGAUAUUCGGAGGAACACCAGUGGCGAAGGCGGCUCACUGGCUCGACACUGACGCUGAGGUGCGAAAGCGUGGGGAGCAAACAGG